rnacentral:rRNA from 1 species
UACGUAGGGGGCGAGCGCUGUCCGGAUUUAUUGGGCGUAAAGAGCUCGUAGGCGGCUCGUUGCGUCGGCUGUGAAAACCCGCAGCUCAACUGUGGGCUUGCAGCUGAUACGGGCGGGCUUGGAUUCGGUAGGGGAGACUGGAAUUCCUGGUGUAGCGGUGAAAUGCGCAGAUAUCAGGAGGAACACCGGUGGCGAAGGCGGGUCUCUGGGCCGAUAUCGACGCUGAGGAGCGAAAGCGUGGGGAGCGAACAGG